rnacentral:rRNA from 1 species
GAUGGACGCUGGCGGCGUGCCUAAUACAUGCAAGUCGAGCGAAUGGAUUAAGAGCUUGCUCUUAUGAAGUUAGCGGCGGACGGGUGAGUAACACGUGGGUAACCUGCCCAUAAGACUGGGAUAACUCCGGGAAACCGGGGCUAAUACCGGACAACAUUUUGAACCGCAUGGUUCGAAAUUGAAAGGCGGCUUCGGCUGUCACUUAUGGAUGGACCCGCGUCGCAUUAGCUAGUUGGUGAGGUAACGGCUCACCAAGGCAACGAUGCGUAGCCGACCUGAGAGGGUGAUCGGCCACACUGGGACUGAGACACGGCCCAGACUCCUACGGGAGGCAGCAGUAGGGAAUCUUCCGCAAUGGACGAAAGUCUGACGGAGCAACGCCGCGUGAGUGAUGAAGGCUUUCGGGUCGUAAAACUCUGUUGUUAGGGAAGAACAAGUGCUAGUUGAAUAAGCUGGCACCUUGACGGUACCUAACCAGAAAGCCACGGCUAACUACGUGCCAGCAGCCGCAGUAA